rnacentral:rRNA from 1 species
GUGGGGAAUAUUGCGCAAUGGCCGAAAGGCUGACGCAGCGACGCCGCGUGGGGGAUGAAGCAUUUCGGUGUGUAAACCCCUGUUGCCCGGGACGAACAAGCGAUUUCGAUCGCUCUGACGGUACCGGGUGAGGAAGCACCGGCUAACUCCGUGCCAGCAGCCGCGGUAAUACGGAGGGUGCGAGCGUUGUCCGGAAUCACUGGGCGUAAAGGGCGCGUAGGCGGUGACUUAAGCGUGUGGUGAAAGCCCGGGGCUCAACCCCGGGUCUGCCGUGCGAACUGGGUCACUCGAGCACUGUAGAGGCAGGUGGAAUUCCGGGUGUAGCGGUGGAAUGCGUAGAGAUCCGGAAGAACACCGGUGGCGAAGGCGGCCUGCUGGGCAGUAGCUGACGCUGAGGCGCGACAGCGUGGGGAGCAAACAGGAUUAGAUACCCGGGUAGUCC